AUUGAACGCUUGCGGCAGGCUUAACACAUGCAAGUAGACCGGAAUGGCGGACGGGUGAGUAAUGCUUGGGAAUCUAUCUUAUGGAGGGGGAUAACGUCCGGCAACGGGCGCUAAUACCGCAUACUAUCAGAUGAGCCUAGGGCGGAUUAGCUAGUUGGUGGGGUAAAGGCCUACAAAGCCGACGAUCCGUAACUGGUCUGAGAGGAUGACCAGUCAAGCUGGAACGGGGACACGGUCCUGACUCCUGGGGGAGGCAGGAGUGGGGGAUAUUGGAAAAUGGGCGAAAGUCUGAUCCAGCCAUGCCGCGUGUGUGAAGAAGGUCUUCGGAUUGUAAAACACUUUAAGUUGGGAGCCGUUACCAACAGAAUAAGCACCGGCUAACUUCGUGCCAGCAGCCGCGGUAAUUC
rnacentral:rRNA from 1 species